CUACGGGAGGCAGCAGUGGGGAAUCUUGCGCAAUGGGCGAAAGCCUGACCCAGCAACGCCGCGUGAGGGAAGAAGGCCUUCGGGUUGUAAACCUCUUUCAGUAGGGACGAAGCUUCCGGGGUUAAUAGCCUACGGGGUGACGGUACCUACAGAAGAAGCCCCGGCUAACUACGUGCCAGCAGCCGCGGUAAUACGUAGGGGGCAAGCGUUGUCCGGAAUCAGUGGGCGUAAAGCGCGUGUAGGCGGCUUGGUAAGUCUGGCGUGAAAUCUUGGGGCUCAACCCCAAGCGUGCGCUGGAUACUGCCUCGCUCGAGUCCGGGAGAGGAAAGCGGAAUUCCCAGUGUAGCGGUGAAAUGCGCAGAUAUUGGGAAGAACACCGGUGGCGAAGGCGGCUUUCUGGAACGGUACUGACGCUGAGACGCGAAAGCGUGGGGAGCAAACAGGAUUAGAUACCCUGGUAGUC
rnacentral:rRNA from 1 species